rnacentral:misc_RNA from 1 species
UCCGAGUUGACCCCGGCAGUCUCCUACGAGUCCCCGCCAUUACGCGCUGGCAACAUAGGACAAGGGUUGCGCUCGUUGCGGGACUUAACCCAACAUCUCACGACACGAGCUGACGACAACCAUGCACCACCUGUGUAGAGCCCCGAAGGACACCGUAUCUCUACGGCUUUUCCCUACAUGUCAAGCCUUGGUAAGGUGGGGAUGACGUCGGAGGAAUUCCA